GCAUUUGUGAUGCAAUUGGAAGCAAACUCGACUCGUACUCGAGAGGUCCAGGGUUCGAGUCCUGGCGAGAGUU
rnacentral:tRNA from 1 species